ACAUAAAAAUAAAAAGUUUCUAAAUUUGAAGAAAAUCCAUGGCUUCCAAAUGUAUUAGAAAACUUACACUAGUGAUGAUGGAAUUUUUUAUCCUUGUUCUCCUAAACGUUCAGGCUAUUGACCUUUCCCCUACGUCUUUUUCUCCCUCUGGAUUGCCCAUCUUAUAUUCUCACUCUGAACUUGAUGAAGUUAAAGCAACAAUACAUACAUGCUUUGCAGAUGGGAUUAAAGAUUGUGAAAAAACACGGUCACUUCCCAAAUUGUCUAUACCUCCCUUGUCGGGUUUUGAAUCUUGUCUCAUUAAAGUUCAUGCGUUAUGCUGGGCGAAACAACAUGGCGAAGAGGAGAUGAGUAGCGAGCAUUUCAUAUGCAUAUUUAGAUGCAUAACACAUCAAAGCGAUAUUGGGUCCUGUUUCACAAAAUGUUAUGAAAAACAUGUUGAGAACCACGCAGAUGUCAUUUAUAAGCAGAAUCCAUAGCGUAAGAUUCAUAUGGAGGCUUUCUCAGGAAAUGUGGGAGAGCAAGACUUGCUAGAUAGCAUUUCCUAGUUGUCCCUCGUUUCAAAUAAUAUUGUUUUGAGUUGUAAAAUAAUGAUAAUUCAGGAUGUUGUUGUACUUGAUUUAAUACCGUUGUGUUUUUAAUUUUUAAGUUGGUCUAUUUUGGACCCAAAACUAUGCCAUUUGGGAGUUGAAUUUUACAUGGAAUCUGUUGAUCUUGUUU